rnacentral:rRNA from 1 species
CUGAAUAGGGCGCAUAAGUAACAGGUCGUAGACCCGAAACCAGGUGAUCUACCCAUGUCCAGGAUGAAGGUAAGGUAAUACUUACUGGAGGUCCGAACCCACGCACGUUGAAAAGUGCGGGGAUGAGGUGUGGGUAGCGGAGAAAUUCCAAUCGAACUUGGAGAUAGCUGGUUCUCUCCGAAAUAGCUUUAGGGCUAGCCUCGAGGUAAAGAGUCAUGGAGGUAGAGCACUGUUUGGACUAGGGGCCCUUCUCGGGUUACCGAAUUCAGAUAAACUCCGAAUGCCAUGUACUUAUACUCGGGAGUCAGACUGCGAGUGAUAAGAUCCGUAGUCGAAAGGGAAACAGCCCAGACCACCAGUUAAGGUCCCCAAAUAUAUGUUAAGUGGAAAAGGAUGUGGGGUUGCUUAGACAACCAGGAUGUUGGCUUAGAAGCAGCCACCAUUGAAAGAGUGCGUAAUAGCUCACUGGUCGAGUGACCCCGCGCCGAAAAUGUACCGGGGCUAAACAUAUUACCGAAACUGUGGAUGAACCUCUUUAGAGGUUCGUGGUAGGAGAGCGUUCUAAGGGCGGUGAAGUCAGACCGGAAGGACUGGUGGAGCGCUUAGAAGUGAGAAUGCCGGUAUGAGUAGCGAAAGAAGGGUGAGAAUCCCUUCCACCGAAUAUCUAAGGUUUCCUGAGGAAGGCUCGUCCGCUCAGGGUUAGUCGGGACCUAAGCCGAGGCCGAUAGGCGUAGGCGAUGGACAACAGGUAGAGAUUCCUGUACCAGUGCUAAUUGUUUAACCGAUGGGGUGACACAGAAGGAUAGGGAAUCGCACGAAUGGAAAUGUGCGUCCAAGCAGUGAGUGUGAGAAGUAGGCAAAUCCGCUUCUCGCGAAGCAUGAGCUGUGAUGGGGAAGGAAAUUAAGUACGGAAGUUCCUGAUUUCACGCUGUCAAGAAAAGCCUCUAGGAAGAGUAGUACUGCCCGUACCGCAAACCGACACAGGUAGAUGAGGAGAGAAUCCUAAGGUGAGCGAGAGAACUCUCGUUAAGGAACUCGGCAAAAUGACCCCGUAACUUCGGGAGAAGGGGUGCUCUAUUAGGGUGCAAGCCCGAGAGAGCCGCAGUGAAUAGGCCCAGGCGACUGUUUAGCAAAAACACAGGUCUCUGCAAAACCGUAAGGUGACGUAUAGGGGCUGACGCCUGCCCGGUGCUGGAAGGUUAAGAGGAGUGCUUAGCUUCGGCGAAGGUACGAAUUGAAGCCCCAGUAAACGGCGGCCGUAACUAUAACGGUCCUAAGGUAGCGAAAUUCCUUGUCGGGUAAGUUCCGACCCGCACGAAAGGCGCAACGAUCUGGGCACUGUCUCAACGAGAGACUCGGUGAAAUUAUAGUACCUGUGAAGAUGCAGGUUACCCGCGACAGGACGGAAAGACCCCGUGGAGCUUUACUGCAACCUGAUAUGGAAUGUUUGUACCGCUUGUACAGGAUAGGUAGGAGCCGAAGAGACGUGUGCGCUAGCAUACGAGGAGGCAAUGGUGGGAUACUACCCUGGCUGUAUGACCAUUCUAACCCGCCACGCUUAGCGCGUGGGGAGACAGUGUCAGGUGGGCAGUUUGACUGGGGCGGUCGCCUCCUAAAGAGUAACGGAGGCGCCCAAAGGUUCCCUCAGAAUGGAUGGAAAUCAUUCGCAGAGUGUAAAGGCACAAGGGAGCUUGACUGCGAGACUGACAAGUCGAGCAGGGACGAAAGUCGGGCUUAGUGAUCCGGUGGUUCCGCAUGGAAGGGCCAUCGCUCAACGGAUAAAAGCUACCCCGGGGAUAACAGGCUUAUCUCCCCCAAGAGUCCACAUCGACGGGGAGGUUUGGCACCUCGAUGUCGGCUCGUCGCAUCCUGGGGCUGUAGUCGGUCCCAAGGGUUGGGCUGUUCGCCCAUUAAAGCGGCACGCGAGCUGGGUUCAGAACGUCGUGAGACAGUUCGGUCCCUAUCCGUCGCGGGCGCAGGAAAUUUGAGAGGAGCUGUCCUUAGUACGAGAGGACCGGGAUGGACACACCGCUGGUGUACCAGUUGUUCCGCCAGGAGCAUCGCUGGGUAGCUAUGUGUGGCAGGGAUAAACGCUGAAAGCAUCUAAGCGUGAAGCCCCCCUCAAGAUGAGAUUUCCCAUUUCUUCGGAAAGUAAGAUCCCUGAAAGAUGAUCAGGUAGAUAGGUUUGGAGUGGAAGUGUAGCGAUACAUGGAGCGGACAAAUACUAAUCGAUCGAGGACUUAACCA